GUGAUGGUCAGGAGGUUGUUAACUGUCUCUCUAAAGUAAUAAUUAGUCACAGCUGGUACCAGGGAAAGGCCCGCCCCUAAUAGAUAGAAAACACCUGAAACAGGUGAUCAGCCGCUUCUGGAUAAGAUCUCAGGUGUUGGGAGAAGUGACGCAAGACCCUGGAAGAAGGCCAACGUAUAAAACCCCAAGUCAAAAGGUCAAGCUGUGCAUUUGUCUUUCAAGUUUUCUGCUUUGCUGUCUUCCAAGUGCACCUUCCUUUCAUUCCUGCUGUAAAACUUGCCUCAGUCUUUCCUGCCUGAUACCCCUCAAGCAAAUGCCUCCUUCUUCUGAGGAGGCAAGAAUUGAGGUUGCUGCAGACCUGAUAUGGAUUUUCCACCGCUAACAUAUUUUGGUGCUGUGUGACUCAGAGACAGGGGUCUCACUAUGUUGCCCAAACUGGCCUUGAUCUUCUGGGCUCAAGCAAUCUUCCCACCUCAGCCUCCGAGUCGCUGGGAUUGCAGAUAAGGAAAUUGAGGCUCAGUGUUGGCAGGUAACAUGUUCAAGAUCUUGAAACUAGCAGGUGGCAGAGCUGGGGUUCAUCUGUCUCCAUGUGCUCAGACUCUGCUCAUUCCUUUGGUGAGACCUU
rnacentral:lncRNA from 10 species